CCUACGGGUGGCUGCAGUGGGGAAUUUUGGACAAUGGGGGCAACCCUGAUCCAGCCAUUCCGCGUGAGUGAAGAAGGCCUUCGGGUUGUAAAGCUCUUUCAGCAGGAACGAAACGGUCGGCUUUAAUAAAGUCGGCUAAUGACGGUACCUGCAGAAGAAGCACCGGCUAACUACGUGCCAGCAGCCGCGGUAAUACGUAGGGUGCGAGCGUUAAUCGGAAUUACUGGGCGUAAAGCGUGCGCAGGCGGCGACAUAAGACAGAUGUGAAAUCCCCGGGCUCAACCUGGGAACUGCGUUUGUGACUGUGUUGCUAGAGUGUAGCAGAGGGGGGUGGAAUUCCACGUGUAGCAGUGAAAUGCGUAGAGAUGUGGAGGAACACCGAUGGCGAAGGCAGCCCCCUGGGUUAACACUGACGCUCAUGCACGAAAGCGUGGGGAGCAAACAGGAUUAGAUACCCCGGUAGUC
rnacentral:rRNA from 1 species